CAGUCGCCGCGGUAAUACGAAGGGUGCAAGCGUUAAUCGGAAUUACUGGGCGUAAAGCGUGCGUAGGCGGUGAGUUAAGUCUGCUGUGAAAUCCCCGGGCUCAACCUGGGAAUGGCAGUGGAUACUGGCUCGCUAGAGUGUGUCAGAGGAUGGUGGAAUUCCCGGUGUAGCCGUGAAAUGCGUAGAGAUCGGGAGGAACAUCAGUGGCGAAGGCGGCCAUCUGGGACAACACUGACGCUGAGGCACGAAAGCGUGGGGAGCAAACAGGAUUAGAUACCCCAGUAGUCCCUGUCUCUUAUAC
rnacentral:rRNA from 1 species